rnacentral:rRNA from 1 species
CCUACGGGUGGCAGCAGUGAGGAAUAUUGGUCAAUGGACGAGAGUCUGAACCAGCCAAGUAGCGUGAAGGAUGACUGCCCUAUGGGUUGUAAACUUCUUUUAUAUGGGAAUAAAAUGUUCCACGUGUGGGAUUUUGUAUGUACCAUAUGAAUAAGGAUCGGCUAACUCCGUGCCAGCAGCCGCGGUAAUACGGAGGAUCCGAGCGUUAUCCGGAUUUAUUGGGUUUAAAGGGAGCGUAGGUGGAUUGUUAAGUCAGUUGUGAAAGUUUGCGGCUCAACCGUAAAAUUGCAGUUGAAACUGGCAGUCUUGAGUACAGUAGAGGUGGGCGGAAUUCGUGGUGUAGCGGUGAAAUGCUUAGAUAUCACGAAGAACUCCGAUUGCGAAGGCAGUUCACUGGACUGCAACUGACACUGAGGCUCGAAAGUGUGGGUAUCAAACAGGAUUAGAUACCCUACUAGUC